rnacentral:rRNA from 1 species
AUGGCAUUAUUUGGUCCUCGAUUUGGGCCAAAUCGGAACUUCCUGAAUCCGACGCUGUCAAUCGGGCCGCAGAGAGGAAGCGUGGUGGAGAUGAGAUGGGGACAGAGGAUCCUGCAGCGAUGUUGUUUGUUUGUUCUCCUGCUCAAGGUUUGCUAUCAAGCUCUCAAAAAGAAAAAAACAACUUUACUCUGUUUUCUGGAGAACCUUCCCGUAGAGUCACUACCUCAACAGAGACAAAUAUGCGAUCAAGGAUAUAUUCGAUGGAUUUUCAAGCAAAACUUGGAGGCUAUUUUUGCAGAUAGUUUGGUGCUCUCAUGGUUAUUUUGUAGAGAUUGUCCCUUUGUUCAUUUCUUGGUAACCGUCUACUGCAGCUCAGCUACUGUCCAGCAGCUAACCUUAUGGCAUGCACUUUCUAAUAAAAAUUUGGCAAUCUACUUGAGGCGAGUCAUUUAUCUAGCUACAGUAACCUUCCUUGCUUUUGCAAAUAAUACUUUAUGGUUGGCACUAUUGUCUAUAUCUGCCAAAUAA